GCAGUAGCCGCGGUAAUACGUAGGUCCCGAGCGUUGUCCGGAUUUAUUGGGCGUAAAGCGAGCGCAGGCGGUUAGAUAAGCCUGAAGUUAAAGGCUGUGGCUUAACCAUAGUACGCUUUAGAAACUGUUUAACUUGAGUGCAAGAGGGGAGAGUGGAAUUCCAUGUGUAGCGGUGAAAUGCGUAGAUAUAUGGAGGAACACCGGUGGCGAAAGCGGCUCUCUGGCUUGUAACUGACGCUGAGGCUCGAAAGCGUGGGUAGCAAACAGGAUUAGAUACCCCGGUAGUCCCUGUCUCUUAUACA
rnacentral:rRNA from 1 species